AAGGCUUGACAUGGACCGGACCGGGCUGGAAACAGUCCUUCCCCUUUGGGGCCGGUUCACAGGUGGUGCAUGGUUGUCGUCAGCUCGUGUCGUGAGAUGUUGGGUUAAGUCCCGCAACGAGCGCAACCCUCGUUCCAUGUUGCCAGCGCGUAAUGGCGGGGACUCAUGGGAGACUGCCGGGGUCAACUCGGAGGAAGGUGGGGACGACGUCAAAUCAUCAUGCCCCUUAUGUCUUGGGCUUCACGCAUGCUACAAUGGCCGGUACAAAGGGUUGCGAUACUGUGAGGUGGAGCUAAUCCCAAAAAGCCGGUCUCAGUUCGGAUUGGGGUCUGCAACUCGACCCCAUGAAGUCGGAGUCGCUAGUAAUCGCAGAUCAGCAACGCUGCGGUGAAUACGUUCCCGGGCC
rnacentral:rRNA from 1 species